UACGUAGGGUGCGAGCGUUAAUCGGAAUUACUGGGCGUAAAGCGUGCGCAGGCGGUGAUGUAAGACAGGCGUGAAAUCCCCGGGCUUAACCCUGGGAACUGCAUUUGUGACUGCAUCGCUGGAGUGCGGCAGAGGGGGAUGGAAUUCCGCGUGUAGCAGUGAAAUGCGUAGAUAUGCGGAGGAACACCGAUGGCGAAGGCAAUCCCCUGGGCCUGCACUGACGCUCAUGCACGAAAGCGUGGGGAGCAAACAGG
rnacentral:rRNA from 1 species